GCAGAAUCGAUGAGCAGGAGAGUAACGGAUGGUUGAGCUUCGCAGAGAGCCGGUGGGGGUGGGAAUCCGGCAAGUGGCCAUCCGUGAAGAUCACCUGUGAGAUGAAAACCGAACGCGUGAGGCCAGUAGGUUUUUCCGGGACUCCCCGUUACAGGAGUGAGGCGGGCGACGCCUCAAAAUGAGUGCCAGCUAUUGCUGGAAGAAGGGUGGUAACACGGGAACCUCUCGUCCCUUGG
rnacentral:ncRNA from 1 species